rnacentral:rRNA from 1 species
UACGUAGGGGGCAAGCGUUGUCCGGAAUUAUUGGGCGUAAAGGAGCAGUGUAGGCGGUCCGGUAAGGUUCGGCUGUGGAAAGUACCAGGGCUCCGAACCCUGGGAUGGCCGGUCGAUACUGCCGGACAUAGAGUUCGGAAGAGGGCGAGUGGGAAUUCCCGGGUGUAGCGGUGAAAUGACGCAGAUAUCGGGAGGAACGACCUAUGGCGAAGGCAGCUCGCUCGGGACGGUUACUGACGCUGAGACGACGAAAGCGUGGGGGAGCAAACAGG